UACGUUCCCGGGCCUUGUACACACCGCCCGUCAAGCCAUGGAAGCUGGGAGUGCCUGAAGUGCGUAACCGCAAGGAGCGUCCUAGGGUAAAGUCGGUAACUGGGGCU
rnacentral:rRNA from 1 species